UGGGGAUCCAGGGGUAUGGGGUUGGGUUUGGGGUCUUGGAGGUGAUGGGGAUCCAGGGGUAUGGGGUUGGGUUUGGGGUCUGGGAGGUGAUGGGGAUCCAGGGAUAUGGGGUUGGGUUUGGGGUCUGGGAGGUGAUGGGGAUCCAGGGAUAUGGGGUUGGGUUUGGGGUCUGGGAGGUGAUGGGGAUCCAGGGAUAUGGGGUUGGGUUUGGCACUGGGAGGUGAUGGGGAUCCAGGGGUAUGGGGUUGGGUUUGGGGUCUGGGAGGUGAUGCUGAGCUGCGGGUGCUGGGGGAGCAGUCAGCCUCGCAUGGCCGCGUGGUGGGAUCUGUGCCGGAGCCCUAUUUGUAGUACAGCACACAAUGGGUGAUGGGCCGUCGGUGAUGAGCGACGGGAGAUGAGGGGGGGAUGAUGGGUUGUGGGAUGUCAGUGGGGUCAGUGGUUGGUGGUGGGUGGUGGGUGAUGGGCAGUGGGCAGCGGUGGGUGAUGGGGAAUGGGCAAUAGGUGCCGGGCAAUGGGAGAUGGGUGUUGGGCAAUGGGCGAUGGGCGAUGGGUGAUGGCACCCAGCGGGGGUCGGGGGUCCCAGGGCUCCUCACAUCCAUCCCCACUGCUUCAAAGGGACAGGACUGUGCCUGUGGGUG
ensembl:lncRNA